rnacentral:rRNA from 1 species
AUUGAACGCUGGCAGCAUGCUUUACACAUGCAAGUCGAACGGUAACAGGCCUUAGGGUGCUGACGAGUGGCGAACGGGUGAGUAAUGCAUCGGAACGUGCCCAGAGGUGGGGGAUAACGCAGCGAAAGCUGUGCUAAUACCGCAUGUGAUCUGAGGAUGAAAGCGGGGGACCAAGCAGCAAUGUUUGGCCUCGCGCCUCUGGAGCGGCCGAUGUCAGAUUAGGUAGUUGGUGGGGUAAAGGCCUACCAAGCCGACGAUCUGUAGCUGGUCUGAGAGGACGACCAGCCACACUGGGACUGAGACACGGCCCAGACUCCUACGGGAGGCAGCAGUGGGGAAUUUUGGACAAUGGGCGCAAGCCUGAUCCAGCAAUGCCGCGUGCGGGAAGAAGGCCUUCGGGUUGUAAACCGCUUUUGUACGGAACGAAAAGGCUCUGGCUAAUACCUGGGGCUGAUGACGGUACCGUAAGAAUAAGCACCGGCUAACUACGUG